rnacentral:rRNA from 1 species
UUGAAAGGGAAACGAUUGAAGUCAGGUCGUACCUGUGGGUAAUCAGCCUUUUGGGUGUGAUUUUGUGGAGUGUGAGGAGUUAAACGCCUUCAUGCCUGCAUAUUCGUGCACUUUGGGUGUAUUUACCCGUGUGGUAAGUUAACAUCAAUUUCGGUGGUCAUAAAAUGGCUGGAGGAAUGUAGCUUCGAUCUUGUAUUGAAGUGUUAUAGCCUUCGGUAGAUGUGAUAAUCGGGAUUGAGGAUUGCAACGGAUACCCCUCGGGGCUACCUGUCUGAUCUCUGAUCGUUGCUCUGGUGCCGAAAGCUUGCUUACGGUUAUCAAAGUCGAUGGUCAAUAGGUUAGAACGGGUUAAAUUCGUUAAGGAUGUUGACGUA